CAAAAAUUGAUUUAUAGAAUAGUUAAAAUAAAGAUGGUAUCCUUCAGUUAAAUCUUGCGUUGGUUGUCCUUUAAUGAAGAUUUGUUCGUAAGCAAAAUAUAUGAAUUCGCUAGCAAGAUAUUGGCAUUCAUACCAACCCUUUUCUUUAUGUUAUAUCUCCAAAAUGAAUUGUUUACAACACUAAAUUGAAACAAAUCAAACACACUUUGUUCCUAUUAGGUGUAGUGGAAAAUGCAAUUCUAAACAAUGGCACUUUAUUUUUGAUUCUGUGCUGAACAAAUAAUUCAUAUUUAUAAACUGAAUGGUGCAUAAUUUUCUCUCUCUGUAAAAUUGAUACGGUAAGUUGAAAUUCAAGUAAAAUAUGUUUCCCGCAUAUUCAGCUACGAUUCUGGUAUAAAAGCUUCUAAUGCUCUUCGUAUAUAAACUGAGUUAUUCAUUAAAACCUAAGUGAUCUUUUAAGUUAUUGAAAUUAAAUCAUAUUGAAUUCCACACCCGAAGGUAAUGCUAUUCAACCAGCCAAGACGAAAAUACUUGGUUUGACAAUUUUUUUACUUUUAUGUAAUGAUUUUCUCUACUCCAUUAAGAAUUUGCGUAUGACUGUGUAUACUCAGCGCUGAUUCACAUAGUAAUAUAAAUCAUUACCUUGAUGAACUAC